UACGUAGGGUGCGAGCGUUAAUCGGAAUUACUGGGCGUAAAGCGUGCGCAGGCGGUGAUGUAAGACAGGUGUGAAAUCCCCGGGCUUAACCUGGGAACUGCAUUUGUGACUGCAAGGCUAGAGUACGGCAGAGGGGGAUGGAAUUCCGCGUGUAGCAGUGAAAUGCGUAGAUAUGCGGAGGAACACCGAUGGCGAAGGCAAUCCCCUGGGCCUGUACUGACGCUCAUGCACGAAAGCGUGGGGAGCAAACAGG
rnacentral:rRNA from 1 species